GCAUUGGUGGUUCAGUGGUAGAAUUCCUGCCUGCCAUGUGGGAGACCCAGGUCCGAUUCCUGGCCAAUGCA